rnacentral:rRNA from 1 species
GAUGAACGCUGGCGGCGUGCCUAAUACAUGCAAGUCGAGCGAACAGACGAGGAGCUUGCUCCUCUGACGUUACCGGCGGACGUGUGAGUAACACGUGGAUAACCUAUCUAUAAGACUGGGAUAACUUCGGGAAACCGGAGCUAAUUCCUGAUAAUAUAUUGAACAGCAUGGUUCAAUAGUUAAAGACGGUUUUGCUGUCACUUAUAGAUGGAUCCGCGCCGCAUUAGAUAGUUGGUAAGGUAACGGAUUACCAAGGCAACGAUGCGUAGCCGACCUGAGAGGGUGAUCGGCCACACUGGAACGGAGACACGGUCCAGACUCCUACGGGAGGCAGCAGUAGGGAAUCUUCCGCAAUGGGCGAAAGCCUGACGGAGCAAAGCCGCGUGAGUGAUGAAGGGCUUCGGAUCGUAAAACUCUGUUAUUAGGGAAGAACAAAUGUGUAAGUAACUAUGCACGUCUUGACGGUACCGAAUCAGAAAGCCACGGCUAACUACGUG